rnacentral:sRNA from 12 species
UCUAUGAAGAGUACAAGAAUUUGUGAGUAAUAUUUAUUUGAUACGAAAUCAUACUCGAUGAAGUAGGAA